rnacentral:rRNA from 1 species
CCUACGGGGGGCAGCAGUGGGGGAUAUUGCACAAUGGGGGGAACCCUGAUGCAGCGACGCCGCGUGGGUGAAGGAGUGCUUCGGCAUGUAAAGCCCUAUCGGCAGGGAAGAAGCAAGACGGUACCUGACUAAGAAGCGCCGGCUAACUACGUACCAGCAGCCGCGGUAAUACGUCGGGGGCGAGCGUUAUCCGGAUUCACUGGGUGUAAAGGGGGCGUAGACGGCCAUGCAAGCCAGGGGUGAAAGCCCGGGGCCCAACCCCGGGACUGCCCUUGGAACUGUGCGGCUAGAGUGCGGGAGGGGCAGGCGGAAUUCCUGGUGUAGCGGUGAAAUGCGUAGAUAUCAGGAGGAACACCGGCGGCGAAGGCGGCCUGCUGGACCGCGACUGACGUUGAGGCUCGAAAGCGUGGGGAGCGAACAGGAUUAGAUACCCUUGUAGUC